AAAACACAGUUUGAGUCUGAGCUGAGCAGUUCUGCGAAGCAAGUGUGUUUUAUCGGAAACAAGAAGCGGUAGCCGGUGUCUGUGUGUGGUUCCUGUGGAGCGCGGGGUUACAGUUGAAGCAGUCGAGAACUGUGGACAAUUUUACUGGGGAGGUCAGCACUAAGAGAGAAUGAUCAGAUUGAAGCCGAGUUGGAUCGGCAUUGUGAGCG